AUUGAACGCUGGCGGCAGGCCUAACACAUGCAAGUCGAGCGGAUGAAGGGAGCUUGCUCCUGGAUUCAGCGGCGGACGGGUGAGUAAUGCCUAGGAAUCUGCCUGGUAGUGGGGGAUAACGUCCGGAAACGGGCGCUAAUACCGCAUACGUCCUGAGGGAGAAAGUGGGGGGUCUUCGGACCUCACGCUAUCAGAUGAGCCUAGGUCGGAUUAGCUAGUUGGUGGGGUAAAGGCCUACCAAGGCGACGAUCCGUAACUGGUCUGAGAGGAUGAUCAGUCACCUGGGAACUGAGACACGGUCCAGAGUCCUACGGGAGGCAGCAGUGGGGAAUAUUGGACAAUGGGCGAAAGCCUGAUCCAGCCAUGCCGCGUGUGUGAAGAAGGUCUUCGGAUUGUAAAGCACGUUAAGUUGGGAGGAAGGGCAGUAAGUUAAUACCUUGCUGUUUUGACGUUACCAACAGAAUAAGCACCGGCUAACUUCGUG
rnacentral:rRNA from 1 species